rnacentral:rRNA from 1 species
GACAGAGGGGGCAAGCGUUGUCCGGAAUUACUGGGCGUAAAGCGCGCGCAGGCGGCCAGAGAUGUGCCGUGUGACAGGUGGGAGCUCAACUCCCAAUCUGCAGGGUAGACACUCUGGCUGGAGGCAGGAAGAGGGAUGUGGAAUGCCCGGUGGAGCGGUGAAAUGCGUAGAGAUCGGGCGGAACACCAGCGGCGAAGGCGGCAUCCUGGUCCUGACCUGACGCUGAGGCGCGAGAGCGUGGGGAGCGAACUGGAUUAGAAACCCCCGUAGUCC